CGGGGUGUGGCGCAGCUUGGUAGCGCGCCUGCUUUGGGAGCAGGAAGUCGCUGGUUCAAAUCCAGUCACCCCGA
rnacentral:tRNA from 1 species